rnacentral:rRNA from 1 species
AUUGAACGCUGGCGGCAGGCCUAACACAUGCAAGUCGAACGAGUGGCGGACGGGUGAGUAAUGUAUGGGAAACUGCCUGAUGGAGGGGGAUAAAUAAUGGAAACGGUAGCUAAUACCGCAUACCAUCAGAUGUGCCCUGAUGGGAUUAGCUAGAUGGUGGGGUAACGGCUCACCCAUGCGACGAUCCCUAGCUGGUCUGAGAGGAUGACCAGCCACAGUGGAACUGAGCCACGGUCCAGACUCCUACGGGAGGCAGCAGUGGGGAAUAUUGCACAAUGGGCGCAAGCCUGAUGCAGCCAUGCCGCGUGUAUGAAGAAGGCCUUCGGGUUGUAAAGUACUUUCAGCGGGGAGGCGUUACCCGCAGAAGAAGCACCGGCUAACUCCGUGCCAGCAGCCGCGGUAAUAC